AGAUUUCAGAAUCUUUUGUCAUGUCGUCAUGAUACACUUUAUAUUAUAAUAAGGGUGUAGGGAGAGAGGAAAAUGAUGGGAAGAAAAAAUCCGUUUACUGACAAGAAGUAUAUCUCAGCUCUUCUAGUAAUCGUUUUCUAUCUUCUCUUUAUAAACAGUAAUGACACGGAAUUUGGACCUGAGCAAUUAGGUAA